UGACCUCGGAUCAGGUAGGGUUACCCGCUGAACUUAAGCAUAUCAAUAAGCGGAGGAAAAGAAACCAACAGGGAUUGCCUUAGUAACGGCGAGUGAAGCGGCAACAGCUCAAAUUUGAAAUCUGGUCCCCUUUGGGGGCCCGAGUUGUAAUUUGAAGAGGAUGCUUUUGGCGAGGCGCCGUCCGAGUUCCCUGGAACGGGACGCCGCAGAGGGUGAGAGCCCCGUACGGUCGGACGCCGAGCCUCUGUAAAGCUCCUUCGACGAGUCGAGUAGUUUGGGAAUGCUGCUCAAAAUGGGAGGUAAACCCCUUCUAAAGCUAAAUACUGGCCAGAGACCGAUAGCGCACAAGUAGAGUGAUCGAAAGAUGAAAAGCACUUUGAAAAGAGAGUUAAAAAGCACGUGAAAUUGUUAAAAGGGAAGCGCUUGCGACCAGACUUGCGCCCGUCGGAUCAACCGUCGCUUGCGGCGGCGCACUCCGGCGGGCUCAGGCCAGCAUCAGUUCGUCCGGGGGGAGAAAGGCGGCGGGAAUGUGGCUCUUCGGAGUGUUAUAGCCCGCCGUGUAAUACCCUCGGGUGGACUGAGGACCGCGCGUAUGCAAGGAUGCUGGCGUAAUGGUCGUCAGCGACCCGUCUUGAAACACGGACCAAGGAGUCGUCCUAAUAUGCGAGUGUACGGGUGUCAAACCCCUGCGCGUAAUGAAAGUGAACGGAGGUGAGAGCUUCGGCGCAUCAUCGACCG
rnacentral:ncRNA from 1 species